rnacentral:rRNA from 1 species
GAUGAACGCUGGCGGCGUGCCUAAUACAUGCAAGUCGAGCGAACAGACGAGGAGCUUGCUCCUCUGACGUUAGCGGCGGACGGGUGAGUAACACGUGGAUAACCUACCUAUAAGACUGGGAUAACUUCGGGAAACCGGAGCUAAUACCGGAUAAUAUAUUGAACCGCAUGGUUCAAUAGUGAAAGACGGAUUUGCUGUCACUUAUAGAUGGAUCCGCGCCGCAUUAGCUAGUUGGUAAGGUAACGGCUUACCAAGGCGACGAUGCGUAGCCGACCUGAGAGGGUGAUCGGCCACACUGGAACUGAGACACGGUCCAGACUCCUACGGGAGGCAGCAGUAGGGAAUCUUCCGCAAUGGGCGAAAGCCUGACGGAGCAACGCCGCGUGAGUGAUGAAGGUCUUCGGACCGUAAAACUCUGUUAUUAGGGAAGAACAAAUGUGUAAGUAACUAUGCACGUCUUGACGGUACCUAAUCAGAAAGCCACGGCUAACUACGUG